GUUGGAGGAGUAGAUGAGGUGCUACAUGCAGGGCCCUGAGAACUGUCCUGUCGCUCAGGAAGCAAGUUUUGCAGGGUGUGGACAAUCGGGCAAGUGACUGCAUGUGACAACAGAGAGAGGGCAUGGUACACGGUGGCAGAUGAGCCCGGGACUGGAGGCAGAUCUGGGUUCCAGUUCGGGCUCUACCAGCAGCACCCAUGUGUCCUUCUGUUCUCUGGGCCUCAAUUUCCUGUUGUAAAAUUCAGAACUUGGAAGAGGGCUCAAGCUUGACCAGGAAACUGAGUGCCGAGCCCUGGAAGAUCACUGGGGAGAGGAGGUCAAAGAACUGGGAGGCCAGGGCACCAUCGGCGGGCUGGUAAGUGGAUGGUGAAACCACCAGGCAGGGGGCAGGAGGAGCUGGAGAGAGGACGCGAGAUGGGAGCUAAAAUCCUAAAAUCCGCAGGGAGUGCGGAAAGCAGUGACAGCAGUGAGCGCGGGGAGGCUGGUCCUGAGUCUGGGAUGGGGCGAUGGCGUUCAAGAAGACAUAUUUAAGAGUACUAUGUAAUUUUACGUGUGGGAAGAACCUUUUGUUUUUGUAAUUAGAACUACAGAAAGGGACAGAGCUGUUUAUGUCAUGAAAAGCAGGCCUGAGCAUUAGAAGACUGAGAAACACCUGGGAGGAUCUUGUUUCAACAGAGCUCAAAGCCGUGGCAAAAGGACGGAGCUCGAAUUGUGCAAUUGUGAGUGACUCGAAGCUGGGUGGGAAAGCGUCUAGUUUCUUAUGCAUAAAGGACCUUCCUGUUGUCUCUGAAAUCAUACCAAGUAGAUGCCACCAUUUCAGCAGAGGCUUGAAUUAUACUGAUAAUGACAAGUUAUCAGUAUCAUAUAACUAAUGUAAUUGAUUGAUAGGAGGAGUUAAGGACACGGGAUCUGGCCGGGCACCAUGGCUCACACCUGUAAUUCCAGCACUUUGGGAGGCCAAGGUGGGCGGAUCACUUGAGUUCAAGAGUUCAAGAUCGGCCUGGGCAACAUGGCCAGGCAACAUGUAAAAAUACAAAAUUUAGCUGGGUGUGGUGGUGGGCGCACCUGUAAUCCCAACUACUUGGGAGGCUGAGAUGGGAGAAUCAUUUGAACCUGGGAGGUGGAGGGUGCAGUGAACUGUGAUUGUACCACUGCACUCCAGCCUGGGUGACAGAGUAAGACCUCGUCAAAAAAAAAAAUCCAAAAAUGUGGGAUCUGUUUAAACCCUGGCUCUGCUCCCUGCUACUCAUUACCCUCAUCUGUGCAGCAGGGGUGAUACCAGCCCUCACCCCUCUGUUUCUGAGAAGUAGAUGAGCGUGUAUGUGCACAGAGACCUGCCUGCAGUGUUGUGAGGACUCACAAAAUGUUGGCUAGAUAUCCUAAUCUUUCUCAUGUUUGUUGGCAAACAAAAACAGGCUGAGAUGGCCCUGUGCCAUUCGUAUAUCUGUGUGUGGAAUAACAGACAGUAUAAAGCUGAAAAGCAGGUCCCUCCCUGGCUAAUUGCAUUUCAGCAGCCGCUGGGAGGCAGUGUGGCGGGGGGCGGGGAGUGAAACUGUGCGGGGAGUCAGGGAGCCUGGGUUUCCUCCUCAGCCAAUGAGGCCAAGGCCAAAUCAGGAUGUCCCUGAGCCCCUGUUUGCCUACCUGUAACGUGGGGAUGACGGUUCCUGCCAGGUACCCACAAGGCUGUUGUGAGGACUGAAUGAGGAAAUGCUCCUUGAAGAUAAAUGACAAUGCCACAGAAGAGCGGAUGCAGCUCCCCUGUGCUGAGUACUCACCUACUGUGUGCUGGGCACAGGGGCAGAGCCACCCACCCCUCCCUGCAGCAGUGCCUGGAAGGCAGGACCAGCAUCCUGAUAGCCAGAGUUGAGACAGAGUUUAAGGGCCUGCCAGGCAUAACUCCCUCGCCAGGCAUAGAAAUAAAGGAACAUCUUGAGUUCUUUCAAGGGAAGUUCCAGGCACCUAGCUAGCCCUGAGAGUAAAUGAACAACAUGAUAAGCAAGAAGGAAAUAAUAGCUUUUCAAAAAAAAUAGCCAAGGAAGUUAGAGUCACAAAAUACUUGGUUCCCUAUUGAAACUUAAGAUAACAUCUUAAUAUAUGUUCCUGAGUUGUUUUUCAGAAACCCAGGCCCCCAGCAAAUGGAAAAUGCCAUCCACUGGCACAGAGACUUCAGUUGGGAGCCGAGGACUGAACUCAGACCACCAUUCUUUGUUCAACAUUUCUUCCUGAGGGGCCUGGAGGAAGUCACACCCACAGGCCAGAGCUCAACAUUCCUUUCUGCUGACCCCAGGUUUUUAGACAAAGCUUUGCCUCCUUAACCAAUCACAAAUCAGAGGAUCUUUGAAUCCACCUAUGACCUGCGGGCCCCGCUUCGAGAUGUCCCACCCUUUUAGGUCAAACCAAUGCACAGUUUCCAUGUAUUGAUUUAUGACUUUGCCUGUAACCUCUGCCUCCCUGCCUUUAAAAACCCUUACCUGUGAGCCACCCUGGAGUUCGGGGCUUAAGCAUGAGCUGCCCGAUUCUCCUUGCUUGGCACCCUGCAGUAAAUGCCUCACUUUCUCUUGCUGCAAAUCCCAAUGUCAGUGCUUGGCUUUGCUGCACCUGGUGGGCAGACCCAAGUUUGGCAACAGAGUCUGUGGGAGAAAGUGCUGUCAGAGGAACAUGCUGGAGCAGCCAGAUUAUAGAAGAAAGAAGUAUCGUUAUGGUUAAGU
rnacentral:lncRNA from 10 species